UCCUUGGUGGCUUAGAUGGUAAAGAAUCUGCCUGCAGUGCAGGAGAGCUGGGUUCAAUCCCUGGGUCAGGAA
rnacentral:tRNA from 1 species